rnacentral:rRNA from 1 species
AGAGUUUGAUCCUGGCUCAGGAUGAACGCUAGCGACAGGCUUAACACAUGCAAGUCGAGGGGCAGCAUGAGGUAGCAAUACCUUGAUGGCGACCGGCGCACGGGUGAGUAACGCGUAUGCAACCUGCCCGAUACCGGGGUAUAGCCCAUGGAAACGUGGAUUAACACCCCAUAGUACUUUUAUCCUGCAUGGGAUGUGAGUUAAAUGUUCAAGGUAUCGGAUGGGCAUGCGUCCUAUUAGUUAGUUGGCGGGGUAACAGCCCACCAAGACGAUGAUAGGUAGGGGUUCUGAGAGGAAGGUCCCCCACAUUGGAACUGAGACACGGUCCAAACUCCUACGGGAGGCAGCAGUGAGGAAUAUUGGUCAAUGGACGUAAGUCUGAACCAGCCAAGUCGCGUGAGGGAAGACUGCCCUAUGGGUUGUAAACCUCUUUUAUAAGGGAAGAAUAAGUUCUACGUGUAGAAUGAUGCCUGUACCUUAUGAAUAAGCAUCGGCUAACUCCGUGCCAGCAGCCGCGGUAAUACGGAGGAUGCGAGCGUUAUCCGGAUUUAUUGGGUUUAAAGGGUGCGUAGGUGGUGAUUUAAGUCAGCGGUGAAAGUUUGUGGCUCAACCAUAAAAUUGCCGUUGAAACUGGGUUACUUGAGUGUGUUUGAGGUAGGCGGAAUGCGUGGUGUAGCGGUGAAAUGCAUAGAUAUCACGCAGAACUCCGAUUGCGAAGGCAGCUUACUAAACCAUAACUGACACUGAAGCACGAAAGCGUGGGGAUCAAACAGGAUUAGAUACCCUGGUAGUCCACGCA